rnacentral:lncRNA from 1 species
GGGGUCCACUUAUUUUGAAUAAUAUUAAAUAAACUGUUUAUAAAGUAAAUGUGUUAACAUGGUUUAAGUCCAGGAAUAUUACAAAAUUCUUGGACAUAUUUUGACCAUUUAAUACAAGAUAGAUAUAUAGUUCUUUGGGAACAUAUGAGCCCUUUUGUACUAAAAGAUGUUUUUUACAAAGAAAUAUAUUAUGACUUUAAUAUAUUGACCCCUCAUAAAAGGGAUAUUUACAUUAUAACAUUAAGGGGUUGUUCCCAACCUGAUUAUGACUUAAUGUAGAUGGAAAAUUGGCCCAUUGUCAGUCCCACAUACAUAGACCAGAUUUAAUUAUACAAUUAUUUCAUGGUGAACAUGGUGAACAGGGAAAAA